rnacentral:misc_RNA from 1 species
UCAAACUUGGUCAUUUAGAGGAAGUAAAAGUCGUAACAAGGUUUCCGUAGGUGAACCUGCGGAAGGAUCAUUAGUGAAUACUAGGGUGUUCUAUUUAACUAGAAGCCCGACUCUCACUUUUCUAACCCUGUGCAUUUGUUAAUCUGGCUAGUAGGUCUUCGGACUGAACACCUUCACUUUACAAACACUAAGUCUAUGAAUGUAUAUAAAUUUUAUAACAAAACAAAACUUUCAACAACGGAUCUCUUGGUUCUCGCAUCGAUGAAGAACGCAGC